AACAUAUAUAUAUAUAAAUCGCUUUGGAUAAAAGCAUCUGCUAAAUGGUAUAUA
rfam:Salmo salar isolate Sally breed double haploid chromosome ssa06, whole genome shotgun sequence.